rnacentral:rRNA from 1 species
GAUGAACGCUGGCGGCGUGCCUAAUACAUGCAAGUCGAGCGAACGGACGAGAAGCUUGCUUCUCUGAUGUUAGCGGCGGACGGGUGAGUAACACGUGGAUAACCUACCUAUAAGACUGGGAUAACUUCGGGAAACCGGAGCUAAUACCGGAUAAUAUUUUGAACCGCAUGGUUCAAAAGUGGAAGACGGUCUUGCUGUCACUUAUAGAUGGAUCCGCGCUGCAUUAGCUAGUUGGUAAGGUAACGGCUUACCAAGGCAACGAUGCAUAGCCGACCUGAGAGGGUGAUCGGCCACACUGGAACUGAGACACGGUCCAGACUCCUACGGGAGGCAGCAGUAGGGAAUAUUCCGCAAUGGGCGAAAGCCUGACGGAGCAACGCCGCGUGAGUGAUGAAGGUCUUCGGAUCGUAAAACUCUGUUAUUAGGGAAGAACAUAUGUGUAAGUAACUGUGCACAUCUUGACGGUACCUAAUCAGAAAGCCACGGCUAACUACGUG